rnacentral:tRNA from 1 species
GGGGGUGUGGCUCAGUGGUAGAGCACUCGCCCGGUAUGUGUGAGGCACUGGGUUCGAUCCUCGGCACUACAU